UUGCCACCGGCGGGGCCGAGAUUGUAGAGAAGACAGGCGAAGGAAGGAAGGAAGGAGAAACAUUUUUAACUGAACUGACCGACCGGUAAGAAGAAGCAGCCAGCCAUGUCAGGUUUCUCGAGCUUAUUUUCUCACAGAAACGGAGGAAUCUCUCUAUUGCGUCACGGUUCUUCAAAACUCGGAUGUUUCUCUCGAGUAUCGUUUUCUUCCAGCAUCCCAAAACAGUCGAAACGAGAUGAUGAUUAUGCUUCUCACGACGCAUUUGGAGUUGAUAUGGAGAAGAGCAUAUACAACAUUCUUACAAUCGACCGUUGGGGAUCUCUAAACCACAUGGAUUAUAGACAGGCUCGUCUUAGACCAGUUCACGGGAAGCUAGCCUUGAAGUUUCUCAAAUGGGUAGUCAAACAGCCAGGUCUGGAGCCUGACCAUCUUCUCCACCUGUUCUGCAUCACUACGCAUAUACUCGUUAGAGCUAGAAUGUACGACCACGCAAGGCACAUCUUGAAGGAGCUGUCUCGAACGGGUGACGACGACAAACCGAGCUUUGUGUUUGGUGCUUUGAUGACCACGUACAGGCUAUGCAACUCGAACCCUGCUGUUUUCGACAUCUUGAUUCGUGUGUAUACGAGAGAAGGAAUGAUUAAAGAAUCUCUGGAGGUGUUUCGUUUGAUGGGUCUUUACGGGUUCAACCCUUCUGUUCACACUUGUAACGCAAUGCUGGGAUCCAUUGUGAAGAGUGAUGGGGAUGAUGUGUCAGUCUGGUCUUUCUUGAAGGAAAUGCUCAAGAGGAAGAUUUGUCCCGACGUGGCUACCUUCAAUAUACUAAUCAAUGCGCUCUGUGCUGAAGGGAACUUUAAAAAGUCUUGUUAUCUCAUGGAAAAGAUGGAGAAGAGUGGUUAUCCUCCAACGAUAGUUACGUACAACACUGUGCUACAUUGGUACUGUAAAAAGGGAAGAUUUAAAGCUGCUUUGGAGCUUAUAGAUCACAUGAAGUCCAAAGGGGUUGACGCAGAUGUAUGUACAUAUAACAUGAUUAUCAACGAUUUGUGCAGAAACAGUAGAAGUGCCAAAGGCUAUUUGUUGCUGAGGAAAAUGAGGAAGAGGAUGGUUUACCCCAACGAAGUCACGUACAAUACGCUGAUCAAUGGGUUUGCAAAUGAAGGAAAGGUUCUCAUUGCUCGUCAGCUUUUGGAUCAGAUGUUAACCUUUGGACUUUCCCCGAAUCAUGUUACUUUCAAUGCUUUGAUUGAUGGGUACAUUAGUGAAGGAAACUUUAAAGAGGCUCUGAAGAUGUUUCAUAUGAUGGAGGCACAAGGUCUUAUCCCUACUGAAGUUAGCUAUGGGGUACUUUUAGAUGGGUUGUGCAAGCACGCGGAGUUUGAUCUAGCGAGGGGGUUUUACAUGAGAAUGAAGAGAAGUGGGAUCUCUGUUGGGCGAAUAACAUACACUGGAAUGAUUGAUGGGUUGUGCAAGAAUGGGUUAUUGGAUGAAGCGGUUGAGAUGCUUGAUGAAAUGAGCAAAGAUGGUAUUGAUCCUGAUAUCGUCACAUACUCAGCACUUAUAAAUGGAUUUUGCAAGGUGGGGAGGUUUGGAACUGUUAAGGAGAUAGUCUGCAGAAUUUACCGAGCUGGUCUUAGUCCAAACGGCAUCAUAUACUCAACGCUGAUAUACAAUUACUGCAGGAUGGGAUGUUUAAAGGAAGCUUUAAGAAUUUAUGAAGCUAUGAUCCUUGAAGGCCAUACUCCAGACCAUUUCACGUUCAAUAUACUUGUCUCUUCGCUAUGUAAAGCUGGUAAAGUGGGUGAAGCCGAAGAGUUUAUGCGUCGCAUGACAAGUGAUGGUAUUCUUCAUAACGCAGUUGGCUUUGAUUGCCUUAUCAACGGAUAUGGAAGCUCCGGUGAAGCGCUAAAAGCGUUCUCUGUAUUUGAUGAGAUGACCAAAGCAGGUCAUCACCCAACUUUCUUCACAUACGGUGGUCUACUCAAGGGAUUAUGCAAAGGUGGGCAUCUGAAAGAGGCAGAGAAGUUUCUGAAAAGCCUCCUCCAUGAUGUUCCUGCAGCUGUUGACACUGUAAUGUACAACACGCUACUCACUGCAAUGUGUGAAUCAGGGAACUUGGACAAGGCUGUCUCUCUGUUUGGUGAGAUGGUGCAGCGAAGCAUUCUGCCUGACGGUUAUACAUAUACCAGUCUUAUCUCUGGGUUGUGUAGGAAGGGAAAGACUGUUAUUGCCGUACUCUUUGCUAAAGAAGCUGAGGCUCGAGGUAAUCUGCUUCCCAACGAGGUGAUGUACACAUGUUUUGUGGAUGGUAUGUUCAAAGCUGGCCAGUGGAAAGCUGCUUUUCAUUUCCGGGAGGAAAUGGAGAAGCUUGGCCUUACCCCUGAUGCUGUCACAACAAACGCAAUGAUUGACGGUUACUCAAGGAUGGGGAAAGUAGAGAAGGCCAGUGACCUGCUUUCUGAGACGGAACCUAAUCUGACUACCUACAACAUCCUAUUGCAUGUUUAUUCAAAGAGGAAAGACAUACCAACGACCUUUAAGCUGUAUAGAUCAAUGAUACUGAACGGCAUUUUACCUGACAAACUCACAUGCCAUUCUCUUAUUCUCGGGAUUUGUGAAUCCAACGCGUUGGAGAUUGGUGUUAAAAUCUUGAAAGCGUUCAUAUGCCGAGGUUUUGAAGUUGACAGGAGCACGUUCAACAUGCUAAUCUCCAAAUGCUGUGCAAACGGAGAGAUCAGCAAGGUUUUCGAUCUGGUUAACGUCAUGAACUUACUGGGAAUCUCUCUUGACAAAGUUACUUAUGACGCCAUUGUAAGCAUCCUCAACAGAAACCACAGAUUCCAGGAAUCUCGCAUGGUUUUGCACGCAAUGUCGAAGCAAGGCUUAUCUCCUGAUUGUACCAAGUAUAUCAGUCUGCUUAACGGUCUUUGUAGAGUGGGUGAUAUAAAGACUGCGUUUAUGCUGAAGGAUGAGAUGAUAGCGCACAAGAUAUGUCCGCCUAACGUAGCUGAGAGUGCUAUGGUGAGAGCGCUUGCAAAAUGCGGCAAGGCUGAAGAAGCUACACUGCUUCUUCGUUCCAUGCUGAAAAAGAAGUUGGUUCCGACUAUUGCUAGUUUCACUACUCUGAUGCACUUGUUCUGCAAGAACGGUGACGUUACAGAUGCUCUGGAAUUGAGAGUCGUUGUGAGAAACUGUGGCCUGAAGCUCGAUCUCGUGGCGUACAAUGUAUUGAUUACUGGACUUUGUGAUAAAGGUGAUAUGGUAGCUGCGUUUAAGCUCUAUGAAGAGAUGAAGCAAGAUGGGUUCUUAGCUAAUGCGACUACUUACAAAGCUCUCAUCAGUGGGAUUCUUUCCGUAGAUAUCCCAUUCUCAGAGACUGAUAUGAUCAUGGAAGAUUUACUUGCAAGAGGAUUCAUAACAUCCUUGAGCUCGUCUCAAGAUUCACACAAAACCUUGACAAUGGUCAUGGAGAAGCUGAAGGCCUUGCAGAGUCACAAGAAGGGAUAAACAUCAGAACAAGCUUUAAGAGUAAAUCGUGAAAUUGCAGUUUAUCACCGUGAAAAGCUGGAUGUGCUAGAGAAACCAGCUAAAAAGUUCCCUGAACUUUGUCUGAUUUUCAACAGUUCUUGAUGUGAGUGCCAACCAGUUCCAGAAGCUCAAACACUUGAACUUGUGAUGUAAUGCAGAACAAGACAAGCAAGACAGUGAGAGGUCGGCCUCAUUGGCCGUUUUCGCUGACAAACACAAAUCAAAGCCAUACCCAAAAAUAUAUAUUGAAGAGACAGGGUAGGAAGUGGAACAAACUCUGAAUAAUAGCUGGAGCCGUGUUGGCAGUUCAUGUGCUAACUCCACCUGUAAAUCAACCUGAGCUCAAUGAUUCAAAAUGGAAAUGGGGAAUGAAAUGCAGAAACCAUGGAAGAAAAGAAAGCAAGAGGUUCUUCUUCUCCUGUGUUCUUUGAGAAAUCUUUUGAUGAAAAUAUUGUCGGAAUAUGGACAGAGAAACUGGUUUGUUUAUGUUGGGAUGGUGUUUGAUGGGAUCUUGAUGGAGACAGAAUCUAGCAGUUCGCCAGAUUGCAUCACUGGAUUUGUUCUAUUUUGCAGUACCACUCGUGAGCCUGUAACACAAAUAUUAUUUAUUAAUAUUA